CACCCAGAGGCUGAUGCUCACCAUGGGGCGCCUGCAACUGGUUGUGUUGGGCCUCACCUGCUGCUGGGCAGUGGCGAGUGCCGCGAAGACCCCAUGCUGCACUAUGUGGGCUUCGUCCCUGUCAUUGAUGGAGACUUCAUCCCCGCUGACCCGAUCAACCUGUACGCCAACGCCGCCGACAUCGACUAUAUAGCAGGCACCAACAACAUGGACGGCCACAUCUUCGCCAGCAUCGACAUGCCUGCCAUCAACAAGGGCAACAAGAAAGUCACGGAGGAGGACUUCUACAAGCUGGUCAGUGAGUUCACAAUCACCAAGGGGCUCAGAGGCGCCAAGACGACCUUUGAUGUCUACACCGAGUCCUGGGCCCAGGACCCAUCCCAGGAGAAUAAGAAGAAGACUGUGGUGGACUUUGAGACCGAUGUCCUCUUCCUGGUGCCCACCGAGAUUGCCCUAGCCCAGCACAGAGCCAAUGCCAAGAGUGCCAAGACCUACGCCUACCUGUUUUCCCAUCCCUCUCGGAUGCCCGUCUACCCCAAAUGGGUGGGGGCCGACCAUAGAGAUGAGAUCCAGUACAUCUUUGGGGAGCCCUUUGCCACCCCACUCCGGGCUACCGGCCCCAAGACAGGACAGUCUCUAAGGCUAUGACCGCCUACUGGACCAACUUUGCCAAAACAGGGGACCCCAACAUGGGCCACUCGGCUGUGCCCACACACUGGGAACCCUACACUACGGAAAACAGCGGCUACCUGGAGAUCACCAAGAAGAUGGGCAGCAGCUCCAUGAAGCGGAGCCUGAGAACCAACUUCCUGCGCUACUGGACCCUCACCUAUCUGGCGCUGCCCACAGUGACCGACCAGGAGGCCAGUUCCAUGCCCUCCACAGGGGACUCUGAGGCCACUCCCGUCUCCCCCGACAGGCAACUCCGAGUCUGCCCCCGUCCCUGCAACGGGUGACUCUCAGGAUGCCCCUGUGCCCCUCACAAGUGACUCUGAGGCUGCCCCCGUGUCCCCCUCAGGUGACUCUGAGGCUCCCCCGUACCCCCUACGGGUGACUCUGAGGCCCGUGCCCACCUUGGGUGACACUGAGGCUGCCCCUGUGUCCCCCACAGAUGACUCCGAGGAAGCUCAGAUGCUGCAGUCAUUAGUUUCUAGUGUCCCAUCAGCCUUGGUCUCAAGAGGCCGAGAGGGUGCAACCCCAGGGGCUCCCCUCCCAUCUUGAGCUCUUCCUGAAUAAAACCUCAUUCCCC
rnacentral:lncRNA from 1 species